UUAUCUUGCACAGGAGUUGAGUUCAGCGAGAAAAUCCUUGUUGGAAUCGGAUUUGGUUUCCAAAGCAAAUCGGCGCGCACUGUAUCUAUGCGUGAGGACGCGUCGAUGGUCAGAUCGAUAAGCGGUUUGCACAGACUGAUUCGUCUCGGCAAGGGCUUCAUUUUGAUAUCUUGAUCGUUUUCUUGGUCCUCACGGUUUGGGAGAACGGCCUCUUUGAAGUUCCGAGACUGAUUCUUUUUCGUUUAGGGUUUGAUGAUUUUCGGCUGAGUUGAAGAAUAUUUCGUGGAGGCUUAGGGCUAUAGGCUAUCGUGCUGAUAACGUGUUAUGAAAAUAAGAGGAAAGUCUAUAUCUUUAUUAGACAAUAAAGAGUCCUUUAUAUAGGGAAUUACAUAAGUAUGAAACUCUAAUACAAUAUGGGCUAGGAAAUACAAACACAUAAGUUAUGUCAAAUUUGCAGUCAGAUUCAAGAACUUCUUGGAGGUGAUUCAACUAGCUAUGUCAAAUUCUUCUUCUUAUAUCUAUUUGAUCUUUACUUCAGAUCCAUCCCUCUUUAAGUUGGUUCUUUAGAUCUUCUCUGAAAUGUCCCAGAUUUUUCUGUGAACCCUAGGAAACACCCCCAAUUUUCGUCCAUUGAUUUUUAAUCUGAUUAUUUUCAGACUACAGAAGUUAAAUUUGAUACUUGAGUAACUAAUAAUGACAAUUUUGAUGUGAUGCAGCAUGAUUCGGACACUUGAGAGGUACCAAAAGUGCAAAUAUGGACCUCAAGAGCCCAAUGUGCCUUCAAGAGAUGAGGCCUUAGCAGUUGUACCCCUUCCUUUUCUUUCUUUUUUUUUUUCUGCUUAAUCAAAAACAUGAAUUGGUUUGGUUAAAUCAAAUCCAAUAAUGGUAAACUUUUUUUGGCGAGUAGGAACUUAGUAGCCGACAGGAGUAUCUCAAGCUUAAGGAGCGUUACGACGCCUUGCUGAGAACCCAAAGGAAUCUAUUGGGAGAAGAUCUUGGACCUCUGAGUACAAAGGAGCUUGAGUCACUUGAGAGACGGCUUGAUUCUUCUUUGAAGAAGAUCAGAGCUCUCCGGGUACUACGUCUUCCAUUUCUCUCAUCAUAUACGAAACUGUCUACUCACUAUGCUCGACCAGAUCAAUGAUCUCCAGAGUAAGGUAACAUAAAAAAGGAAUGCGAGCCCAUUCUUCAAAUCGGGUACCAGGGGCAGCAAGAUCAUGGAAUGAAAGCAGGACCAAGUGUGAAUAAUUUACAUGUGGGAUUUGUUACCAUAUGACGCCAACUCUAUUUGAUAUUUCUACAAGUUUUUUUAACUUUUUAUAUUAAAACUUUCUCUUCCCCUCUUAGACUACAUGAUAUGAGUACCUCUCUCUCUCUUUCUAAAUCUAUGCCUUGAGUGCAUUCGUUUGUGUGUAUUGUUUAUUAUGCCCUUUUAUAAUUCAAUGAUAUUUUGAACAAAA